rnacentral:rRNA from 1 species
AUUGAACGCUGGCGGCAUGCCUUACACAUGCAAGUCGAACGGUAACGGGCCUUCGGGUGCCGACGAGUGGCGAACGGGUGAGUAAUACAUCGGAACGUGCCCGAUCGUGGGGGAUAACGAGGCGAAAGCUUUGCUAAUACCGCAUACGAUCUACGGAUGAAAGCAGGGGACCGCAAGGCCUUGCGCGGACGGAGCGGCCGAUGGCAGAUUAGGUAGUUGGUGGGAUAAAAGCCUACCAAGCCGACGAUCUGUAGCUGGUCUGAGAGGAUGAUCAGCCACACUGGGACUGAGACACGGCCCAGACUCCUACGGGAGGCAGCAGUGGGGAAUUUUGGACAAUGGGCGCAAGCCUGAUCCAGCCAUGCCGCGUGCAGGAUGAAGGCCUUCGGGUUGUAAACUGCUUUUGUACGGAACGAAAAGCCUUCUUUUAAUACAGGAGGGUCAUGACGGUACCGUAAGAAUAAGCACCGGCUAACUACGUG